rnacentral:siRNA from 1 species
CCAUAUCGAUGGUGUGGAUGUGAC